rnacentral:lncRNA from 1 species
AAACUUCAUAUCAUGCUAUCAGUGCCCCGUUUUGCCACCACCAAACUCUGCCUCGCUAGCCAAGGCUCCAAAGUAAUUUUCCUCUCUAAACUAUCACAAAGUAGGCCUUUCUUUGUUGCUAAACUGUGUGCUUAUUAUACAGAAUCGAAAUCCAGGUAGAUUUAGUUCUAAAUUUUGGAGGGAUGAAGAUGAAACAAACAUCUUCAUGCAAUUUUUUGUUUUUUGAUGUUGUUGGAUCUCCAUAUUAAUGUUUUUGUAUUUCUGCCUUGUGUGUUGAAUGGUGGUCUUUUCGUCUCUAAACUUUGAUUUGCACUUACAAAUUGAUGGACUUCAGUUUUUACCUGGUUGCUAUGUUCUCUCUCUCUCUCUCUCAUCAAGAGAUUGAGAUGCACUUAUGACGUUUAACCUUCUAAGUCAAUGACUCCUUGGAAAUAUAUAAUCAGAAAGAAUCUCCGUAGCAGAUUCAACAUUGAUUUCAAAUUAGAU